AUGCCCGUGUUUAAGCACUGGAAGGAUUACAUGGACCCAGAUGGACAUGUCCGAGAUGGGAUCUUCAGGAACUUUGUAGGAAAAGUUGGUAACAAGUUUCAGAUGGACGUUGAUGCUGUGCCAGUUAGGAAGGUAUGUACUGAAAUGCUGAAACGUGCGACUCGCCAACAACAAUACAGGCUCAAGAAAGAGUAUUUUGACCCGCACCCACUCCAUUUGGUGACGAGAAUGUCUCCUGUCCCCUCGAUGACCGAUGAGCAGUGGAAUGAGCUAGUGGAAAGCUGGAAGGAUCCCAAAAAGAUGGAGAUAUGUGAAACUAACAAAAAUAAUCGAGCUCAAGUUAAGUUUCACCAAACCACUGGCUCCAGCUACCCUGUGCACUGUGAUAAUCUGGUAAGUCAAACAUGUAGCUCU
rnacentral:rRNA from 1 species